rnacentral:rRNA from 1 species
CACGUAGGGUGCGAGCGUUGUCCGGAAUUAUUGGGCGUAAAGAGCUCGUAGGCGGUGUGUCGCGUCGGCCGUGAAAACCUGCAGCUUAACUGUGGGCGUGCGGUCGAUACGGGCAUCACUGGAGUUCGGCAGGGGAGACUGGAAUUCCCUGGUGUAGCGGUGAAAUGCGCAGAUAUCAGGAGGAACACCGGUGGCGAAGGCGGAUCUCUGGGCCAUUACUGACGCUGAGGAGCGAAAGCGUGGGGAGCGAACAGG